CGUAUCACCCAAGACAACUUUACGGAGUUGACGAUUGACGGAGCGAAGCGACGUCAAAGCGUUCAUUAAAGUCGAGUUGGCUUAGGGAUACGUUCGUUGGGUAGGGGAGCGUUCUGUAAGCCUGUGAAGGUGUGUCGUGAGGCAUGCUGGAGGUAUCAGAAGUGCGAAUGCUGACAUAAGUAACGAUAAAGCGGGUGAAAAGCCCGCUCGCCGGAAGACCAAGGGUUCCUGUCCAACGUUAAUCGGGGCAGGGUGAGUCGACCCCUAAGGCGAGGCCGAAAGGCGUAGUCGAUGGGAAACGGGUUAAUAUUCCCGUACUUGGUGUUACUGCGAAGGGGGGACGGAGAAGGCUAUGUUGGCCGGGCGACGGUUGUCCCGGUUUAAGCGUGUAGGUGUGUGUUCCAGGUAAAUCCGGUUCACUUUAACACUGAGGCGUGACGACGAGGCACUAC
rnacentral:rRNA from 2 species